UUUUUUUGGUCAGACGAACGCUGGCGGCGUGCCUAAUACAUGCAAGUCGAGCGGACAGAAGGGAGCUUGCUCCCGGAUGUUAGCGGCGGACGGGUGAGUAACACGUGGGUAACCUGCCUGUAAGACUGGGAUAACUCCGGGAAACCGGAGCUAAUACCGGAUAGUUCCUUGAACCGCAUGGUUCAAGGAUGAAAGACGGUUUCGGCUGUCACUUACAGAUGGACCCGCGGCGCAUUAGCUAGUUGGUGAGGUAACGGCUCACCAAGGCGACGAUGCGUAGCCGACCUGAGAGGGUGAUCGGCCACACUGGGACUGAGACACGGCCCAGACUCCUACGGGAGGCAGCAGUAGGGAAUCUUCCGCAAUGGACGAAAGUCUGACGGAGCAACGCCGCGUGAGUGAUGAAGGUUUUCGGAUCGUAAAGCUCUGUUGUUAGGGAAGAACAAGUGCAAGAGUAACUGCUUGCACCUUGACGGUACCUAACCAGAAAGCCACGGCUAACUACGUGCCAGCAGCCGCGGUAAUACGUAGGUGGCAAGCGUUGUCCGGAAUUAUUGGGCGUAAAGGGCUCGCAGGCGGUUUCUUAAGUCUGAUGUGAAAGCCCCCGGCUCAACCGGGGAGGGUCAUUGGAAACUGGGAAACUUGAGUGCAGAAGAGGAGAGUGGAAUUCCACGUGUAGCGGUGAAAUGCGUAGAGAUGUGGAGGAACACCAGUGGCGAAGGCGACUCUCUGGUCUGUAACUGACGCUGAGGAGCGAAAGCGUGGGGAGCGAACAGGAUUAGAUACCCUGGUAGUCCACGCCGUAAACGAUGAGUGCUAAGUGUUAGGGGGUUUCCGCCCCUUAGUGCUGCAGCUAACGCAUUAAGCACUCCGCCUGGGGAGUACGGUCGCAAGACUGAAACUCAAAGGAAUUGACGGGGGCCCGCACAAGCGGUGGAGCAUGUGGUUUAAUUCGAAGCAACGCGAAGAACCUUACCAGGUCUUGACAUCCUCUGACAACCCUAGAGAUAGGGCUUUCCCUUCGGGGACAGAGUGACAGGUGGUGCAUGGUUGUCGUCAGCUCGUGUCGUGAGAUGUUGGGUUAAGUCCCGCAACGAGCGCAACCCUUGAUCUUAGUUGCCAGCAUUCAGUUGGGCACUCUAAGGUGACUGCCGGUGACAAACCGGAGGAAGGUGGGGAUGACGUCAAAUCAUCAUGCCCCUUAUGACCUGGGCUACACACGUGCUACAAUGGACAGAACAAAGGGCUGCGAGACCGCAAGGUUUAGCCAAUCCCACAAAUCUGUUCUCAGUUCGGAUCGCAGUCUGCAACUCGACUGCGUGAAGCUGGAAUCGCUAGUAAUCGCGGAUCAGCAUGCCCGCGGUGAAUACGUUCCCGGGCCUUGUACACACCGCCCGUCACACCACGAGAGUUUGCAACACCCGAAGUCGGUGAGGUAACCUUUAUGGAGCCAGCCGCCGAAGGUGGGGCAGAUGAUUGGGGUGAAGUCGACAAGGG
rnacentral:rRNA from 1 species